GAGCUGGCUGGUGCCAUUUCCCUCCACCACCCCUCAGCAUAAACACAGAGCCACCCGAAGGAAGCAGCUCAGCACUGACACUGGCUGUCCAACUUGCUUACAUGAAACCCCACACUCUUGAGCUCUUAGGGCUGCCUUCUUAGUCAAGCUUGCCUCAGUCCAAGCGUGGUGGGCCACUACCCCAGAAGACCAGCACAAACCCCUGCCCACACCACAUCUCCCCACCAGAGAGUUCUGCAGCGCCUCUGUGGAAGUGGUAUCAGGAUUCAUGUCAUAAGCAGACCAGAGCACAUCGAGUUAAAACUCACCACAUUCAGGCCAGGAACCAAACACUGUCCACAGCAGGCAAGGAGAGCCUCUGCAGACGACUGGCCUAAAAGAUAGAACAGCCAAAACACAACAGCAGAGUGCAGGCAGCACACACUGGAGACACUCCCUGAAGCACCAGGCUCUGGGUACUACAUGACGUCUUUCUCAUAAAGGCCAUUACCAGGGGCAGGAAACCUAACUGGCUUUUCUAACACACAGGAAAAGGCAGAGACUAGACAAAAUGCCAAGACAGGGUAAUUUAUCCCAAUGAAAGAACAAGAUAAGGCCACGGCCAGAGAUCAAAGCAAAAGAGAUAUAAGUAACAUAACUGAUGGGAAAUUUAAACAACAAUCAUAAGAAUACUCACUGGGCUUGAGAAAAGAAUAGAAGAUAUCAGUGAGACCCUUACUACAGAGAUAAAGGAGUUGAAAAAGAAUCAGAAAUGAAAAAUGCAAUAAAUGAGAUUGGAAACAGGCUUGAUGCGAUGACAAGCAGGCUGGAAGAAACAGAGGAAUGAAUUACUGAGCGAGAAGAGAAAAUAAGGGAAAAUAAAGAAGCUGAAAAAAGAGAGAAAGAAUAUGGAACAUGAGAGUAGACUUAGGGAACUUAGUGACUCCAUCAAACAUAGUAAUAUUUGUAUCCAUAGGUGUUCCAGAAGAGGAAGAGAGAGAAAAGGGGGCAGAAAAUUUAUUUCAAGAAAUAAUAGAAGAAAACUUCCCUAAUCUGGGGAAGGAAACAGAUAUCCAGAUUCAAGAGGCACAGAGAACUCCCAACAAAUCAAUAAAAGCAGGUCAACACUAAGACAUGUUGUAAUUAAAUUUGCAAAAUAUAGUAAUAAAGAAAAAAAAUCUUAAAAUCAACAAGACAAAAGUCCCUAACUUACAAGGGAAAACCCAUAAGGCUAGCUGAUUUCUCAACAGAAAUAUGGCAAGCCAGAAGAGAGUGGCAUGAUAUAUUCAAAAGUGCUGAAUGGGAAAAAUCUGCAGCCAAAAAUACUCCAUCCAGCAAAGCUAUCGUUCAGAAUAGAAGGAGAGAAAAAGCUUCCCUAACAAAAAUGAAAGGAAUCUGUGGCCACUAAACCAGCUCUGCAAGAAAUAUUAAAGGGGACUGUGAGUGCAAAGGAGAGACCAAAAGUGACAAAGGCGAGAAAGGAUCAGAGAAAAUCUCCAGAAACGAGAAAAUAAGUAAUAAAAUGGCAAUAAAUACAUGUCUAUCAAUAAUUACUUUGAAUGUAAAUGGACUAAACACUCCAAUCAAAAGACACAGGGUGUCAAAACAGAUAAAAAAAACUCCUUUAUAUGCUGCCUACAAGAGACUCAUUUUAGACCUAAAGACACCUGCAGAUUGAAAGUGAGGAGGCAGAGAAGUAUUUAUCACGCAAAUGGAUGUCAAAAGAAAGCCAGAGUACCAAUGCAUCUAUUGAACAAACCAGACUUACAAAGACUAUAAAAACACAAAGGCUAUAAAAACAGACAAAGGGGACAACCCAAUAAGAAGAUAUAACAAGAGAGGACAACCCUGUGGCUGGGACUGUUGCAGCCUCGUCUGCCCGGCGAGGGAUCCAAGCCAAACUAUCAUUGUCAGAAUGUCGGGCAAAGACCGAAUUGAAAUCUUUCCCUCACGCAUGGCACAGACCAUCAUGAAGGCUCAAUUAAAAGAAGCACAGACAAGUCGAAACCUCCUGAAGAAAAAAUCUGAUGCCUUAACUCUUCGAUUUCGACAGAUCCUAAAGAAGAUAAUAGAGACUAAAAUGUUGAUGGGUGAAGUGAUGAGAGAGGCUGCCUUUUCACUUGCUGAGGCCAAGUUCACAGCAGGGGAUUUCAGCACCACAGUUAUCCAAAAUGUAAAUAAAGCCCAAGUGAGGAUCUGAGCUAAGAAAGAUAACGCAGCAGGUGUUACUUUGCCAGUGUUUGAACAUUACCAUGAAGGAACUGACAGUUAUGAACUGACUGGUUUAGCCAGAGGUGGGGAGCAGCUGGUGAAAUUAAAGAGGAACUAUGCCAAAGCAGUGGAGUUACUGAUGGAACUAGCUUCGCUUCAGACUUCCUUUGUUACUUUGGAUGAAGCCAUUAAGAUAAGCGACAAGCGUGUCAAUGCCAUUGAACGCGUCAUCAUUCCCCGUAUUGAACAUAUCCUUGCUUAUAUCAUCACAGAGCUGGAUGAGAGCGAGCGAGAAGAGUUCUAUAGAUUAAAGAAAAUACAGGAGAAGAAAAAGAUUCUCAAGGAAAAAUCGGAGAAAGACUUGGAGCAACGGAGGGCAGCUGGUGAGGUGAUGGAGCCUGCUAAUCUUUUGGCUGAAGAGAAGGAUGAGGAUCUUCUGUUUGAAUAAUCUUUCCUGCUCUGGUUCUUUCAUAAGCCCUAACAUGGCACCAUUUUAAUUCACGGUGUGUAGGUUUGGUAUGUGUGGCUAUUUAUUUUUUGGCCUAAGAAUUUCACUGGUGGUAAAAUUUCCCUGGAUGUUGGUUAUGGGACUGCCUUUGCAAAAUCCUAAUUCAGCAACCAUUUAUCACAUGAGAUUUGUAGACCCUGCCCAGGAACCUGUAGAAUUUAUUCAGCAGAAGCAGUACCCUGCUCCAUGCACUUCUGUUCAAGUGAUCUGCUUUCCAAGCAUGUUAGGAAAUCCCCCUUAGGAAACAGCAGUGGCCUCAGGCCAGCUAUGGCUGUGGCCGCCUGUGUUCCCACCUGCUCCAACACCAACACCGUGGCACUGUUGUCUGAGAUCGCUGCGGCCAUCCUGUGGAACCCUGGUACUUCUCUCCAGCUUUAUGAAACCUUCACUAUUUGCCUUGCCUGACAGGUCUCUGUCCUGUUGGUUAUGGGAGUUCUGCCAAUUUUAAUGUGAUUAUGGUAUAAAGAGUAAAAUGAUUUAAAAAUGAAAAAA